CCUACGGGAGGCAGCAGUGGGGAAUAUUGCACAAUGGGGGGAACCCUGAUGCAGCGACGCCGCGUGGGUGAAGGAGUAUUUCGGUAUGUAAAGCCCUAUCAGCAGGGAAGAACAAUGACGGUACCUGACUAAGAAGCACCGGCUAAAUACGUGCCAGCAGCCGCGGUAAUACGUAUGGUGCAAGCGUUAUCCGGAUUUACUGGGUGUAAAGGGAGCGCAGGCGGCGCGUUAAGCCUGGUGUGAAAGCCCGCGGCCCAACCGCGGGACUGCAUUGGGAACUGGCGCGCUGGAGUGCCGGAGGGGUAGGCGGAAUUCCUAGUGUAGCGGUGAAAGGCGUAGAUAUUAGGAGGAACACCAGAGGCGAAGGCGAUUAACUGGACCGUAACUGACGCUGAGGCACGAAAGUGUGGGUAGCAAACAGGAUUAGAUACCCCUGUAGUC
rnacentral:rRNA from 1 species